AGAGUUUGAUCCUGGCUCAGGAUGAACGCUAGCGGGAGGCCUAACACAUGCAAGCCGAGCGGUAGAAGUCCUUCGGGACUUUGAGAGCGGCGUACGGGUGCGUAACACGUGUGCAACCUACCUUUAUCAGGGGAAUAGCCUUUCGAAAGGAAGAUUAAUACCCCAUAAUAUAUUGAAUGGCAUCAUUUAAUAUUGAAAACUCCGGUGGAUAGAGAUGGGCACGCGCAAGAUUAGAUAGUUGGUGAGGUAACGGCUCACCAAGUCAAUGAUCUUUAGGGGUCCUGAGAGGGAGAUCCCCCACACUGGUACUGAGACACGGACCAGACUCCUACGGGAGGCAGCAGUGAGGAAUAUUGGACAAUGGGUGAGAGCCUGAUCCAGCCAUCCCGCGUGAAGGAUGACGGUCCUAUGGAUUGUAAACUUCUUUUGUAUAGGAAUAAACCUACUCUCGUGAGAGUAGCUGAAGGUACUAUACGAAUAAGCACCGGCUAACUCCGUG
rnacentral:rRNA from 1 species